GACGAACGCUGGCGGCGUGCCUAAUACAUGCAAGUCGAACGCAGUGGGGACGGGUGAGUAACACGUGGGUAACCUCCCAUCAGAGGGGAUAACACUUGGCAACAGGUGCUAAACCGAUAUUGAUGGUUGGAUCCGCGGUGCAUUAGCUAGUUGGUGAGGUAACGGCUCACCAAGGCCACGAUGCAAAGCCGCCCUGAUAGGGUGCUCGGCCACACUGGGACGGAGAAACGGCCCAGAUUCCGACGGGAGGCAGCAGUAGGGAAUAUUCGGCAAUGGACGAAAGUCUGACCGAGCAACGCCGCGUGAGUGAAGAAGGUUUUCGGAGCGUAAAACUCUGUUGUUAGAGAAGCGGUAUCUAACCAGAAAGCCACGGCUAACUACGUGCCAGCAGCCGCGGUAAUAC
rnacentral:rRNA from 1 species